GCCAGUAUUUAUUUUUACAUUUUAAAGGUUUUUUUCUGAGUUAACUAAUAUUUGUAUCUGGUUGGUUUAUACCUCGAGUUAUAUGUAGUAUAUUUUAUGAUUCUGAAAUAGUUUCAUUUAAUCCCAUAACUUUUACGAGAACUAUAGAAGGCAUGUCAGCAUGAUUGAUAUAUUGCAGAUGAAUGACUAAAGGAGUCAUGACUUGACUGUUGGGUUUUUGGCUAAAAUUGGAUUUCUGUAGGCCAUGUUUUUUGUCAUGCUUUUGGGAAAUAUAAGAACUGAUCAUUUUUUAUAUAUUUGUGACAAAUAGUUUGUGACUAAUAUUCAUUAACAAACAUAGAAAGGAAAAUGGCAAUAAAACCAACCAUUUGCUUAUCUAGAACUGGUGCACCCUCCAAAUCAUUGGCUCUCUUUCAGGUAUCAAAUAGAUAAAAGAACAUCCUGUUGGGUAUUUUCCCUUCAAUUGUUCCUUUAGUCCGGAAGAUUAAAUACACUGGAUAAGGUCGAGUUUGGCUGUGAAUCUCAGCACCCCCUAAAAGAAGAUAGUAAAGGGCUCUACAGGUUGACUAAUCCUGUCUAUACCAGCGUGACCAUGUCUUUUCAGCACGCUAAAAUAAGAUGCAGAAUUUGCACUAUAAUAUACAAGAAAAUUGGAGAGACCAUUAACAUCAAAAAAUUACUGAAGUUGUAAUCUCAUUUUUUUUAAAAAAAAAUAUCUAGAAUAAAGUUUUACUGUGACAGUUGGCAAGUCUUCUAA